AAUAUCAAAGGUGAGCCAGUACAGGAUGGACCCGCGUCUGAUUAGCUAGUUGGUAAGGUAACGGCUUACCAAGGCGACGAUCAGUAGCCGACCUGAGAGGGUGAUCGGCCACAUUGGAACUGAGCCACGGUCCAAACUCCUACGGGAGGCAGCAGUGGGGAAUAUUGCACAAUGGGCGAAAGCCUGAUGCAGCAACGCCGCGUGAGUGAUGAAGGCCUUCGGGUCGUAAAACUCUGUCCUCAAGGAAGAUAA
rnacentral:rRNA from 1 species